GGUAUUAUAUUUUAACAAAAGAAAAUUUAAUUUGCAAUUAAAAAGAAAGAUAUAAUUUAAUCUUU
rnacentral:tRNA from 1 species